rnacentral:misc_RNA from 1 species
GCAUUCAGUUUAGGGCUACAUCUUCAGAAGUCACGUUUACUAAAUAAUUUUUCACUGCUCCUAGCAUCAUCCUAAGUCUGCCUCUUACUUUCUUUUUUACUGCAACUUCAACAUGCCCAACUUUUCUCACUAGUGCAAUUGCUACUCUAUGCAUGUCCAAUCAUCUCAAUAUCCUAUCUCAACUUUUCCUCAAUGAAUGCCACUUCUACCUUCCUACGAAUGCAUUCAUUGCUUAUCCAAUCCUUGUAUUUCUGCGUAUCGAUCUUAGCAUUCCCAUCUUUGCUACAUUAAUCUUGUGUACGGGUUUUUUUCAUUAAUCGACACUCAUUGU